ACAUCCAGCGAACUUGGCAGAGAUGCCCUUGGUGCCUUCGGGAACGCUGAGACAGGUGCUGCAUGGCUGUCGUCAGCUCGUGUUGUGAAAUGUUGGGUUAAGUCCCGNAACGAGCGCAACCCUUAUCCUUUGUUGCCAGCGAUUCGGUCGGGAACUCAAAGGAGACUGCCGGUGAUAAACCGGAGGAAGGUGGGGAUGACGUCAAGUCAUCAUGGCCCUUACGAGUAGGGCUACACACGUGCUACAAUGGCGCAUACAAAGAGAAGCGACCUCGCGAGAGCAAGCGGACCUCAUAAAGUGCGUCGUAGUCCGGAUCGGAGUCUGCAACUCGACUCCGUGAAGUCGGAAUCGCUAGUAAUCGUGGAUCAGAAUGCCACGGUGAAUACGUUCCCGGGCCUUGUACACACCGCCCGUCACACCAUGGGAGUGGGUUGCAAAAGAAGUAGGUAGCUUAACCUUCGGGAGGGCGCUUACCACUUUGUGAUUCAUGACUGGGGUGAAGUCGUAACAAGGUAAGCGUAGCGAG
rnacentral:rRNA from 1 species